UGGCUUAGAGGUUAAGAGCACUGGAUAGCCUUCCAGAGGUCCUGAGUUCAAUUCUCAG
rnacentral:tRNA from 1 species